GAAAUCCUCCCCCCGCCAAAUCUCCCAGUGAUAAAGACCCCUCUGAUAUUCCUGAGUAAAGAGGCUGCCAGGGAGUCAUGGAGGUGCUACUGACAAGCGAUUUUCAAAAGGUUUUUAAGUAUUAGUCUCUUUAAGGAAAUUUAGAGAGAAAUGUAUGUUGUUGAAUAGAGUCUUAAUAAUGACAACAGCAGAGAUAAUACAGCUUUAUGUUAGAGGCUGCUGUCUACUUUAAAAAUCUUUUUCUUUUUUUUUAAUGUCUGGCCUCCUUUCAAUUCUUUCAACACCAGGAAGGAGGCAGAAAAGGUAGUAUUUACAUGACUCAGCGGCCAAGUGAACGUCUCAGGGUCACACAGAUAUUAAGUGGUGGAGUUGAGAUUUUGAACCACAAGGAUUUUUUUUUUUUUUUUUUUUUAAAUCCAGCGUUCUUUCUGCUGUUGUAUUUACCUCCCUGGAUCAUUAACACGGGGCAGGAUUUGGCUUUGCAGAAAAAGGAGAGACCUUCCUUCCGCCGCGGAGGAAAUUCCAACCUACGCUACCCUGAUCUCGAUUACUCUUGGCACAGUGAUCCUGCAGUCGUUCGAGCCCAGCGUCUUGGCUAGAUACAGAACUGAAGCCUCAGAACAACGGCCUCCAAUCCCUUCACUUUGCAGGGUUUGUUACUGCUGCAUUCUUUAAUUCCUGUUCAUAAAAGUGCCUACUAUGUACAAGGUGGCUCCGAUAGAGAAUCCUCCUGCUGAUGCAGGAGACAAAACUUCAACCCCUGGGUCGAGAAGAUCCCCUGGAGGAGGAAAUGGCAAUCCACCCCAGUAUUCUUGCCUGGGAAAUCCCAUGAACAGAAGAGACUAGGGGGCCACAGUCCAUGGGGUCGCAAAGAGUCGGACAUGACUGAGAGACUAUACAACAACAAAAAGCAACAAAUGUACCAGAAAGUCCAAAAACCUGGCUAGCAAAAACAGUUUAU
ensembl:lncRNA